rnacentral:rRNA from 1 species
AGUCGAGCGAAUGGAUUAAGAGCUUGCUCUUAUGAAGUUAGCGGCGGACGGGUGAGUAACACGUGCGGUAACCUGCCCAUAAGACUGGGAUAACUCCGGGAAACCGGGGCUAAUACCGGAUAACAUUUUGAACUGCAUGGUUCGAAAUUGAAAGGCGGCUAUCGGAACUGUCAACGGUUUUAUGAGAUGGACUCCGCGUCGCAGUCUAGCUAGUUGGUGAGGUAACGGCUCACCAAGGCAACGAUGCGUAGCCGACCUGAGAGGGUGCAUCGGCCACACUGGGACUGAGACACGGCCCAGACUCCUACGGGAGGUCAGCAGUAGGGAAUCUUCCGCAAUGGACGAAAGUCAUGACGGAGCAACGCCGCGUGAGUGAUGAAGGCUUUGCGGGUCGUAACCCAACAUCUGUUGUUAGGAGAAGACGACAAGUGCUAGUUGAAUAAGCUGGCACCUUGACGGUACCUAACCAGAAAGCCACGGCUAACUACGUGCCAGCAGCCGCGGUCAAUACGUAGGUGGCAAGCGUUAUCCGGAAUUAUUGGGCGUAAAGCGCGCGCAGGUGGUUUCUUAAGUCUGAUGUGAAAGCCCACGGCUCAAUUCCGUGGAGGGUCAUUGGAAACUGGGAGACUUGAGUGCAGAAGAGGAAAGUGGAAUUCCAUGUGUUCAGCGGUGAAAUGCGUAGAGACUAUGGAGGCUAAGCACUCAGUGGCGAAGGCGACUUUCUGGUCUGUAACUGACACUGAGGCGCGAAAGCGUGGGGAGCAAACAGGAUUAGAUACCCUG